GGACUUACACAAUAUUAGGCAGAUGGUUUUAAUGUUGUGGCUGAUCGAUGUAUAUACAUAUAUUGUGAUAUUUUAAAGUUAUAAACUCUUUGUUAUCCAGAAUCAGAAGGACACUGAAAAUCUUCCCCAAAACCAAGAAGCAAUUACUGAACUCAAAAACUCUUCAAAAGCAUCCUGUUGUGACUGUUAUAAAUUAGCUGCUUCAGAUAAAGGAACACAAAAAUAACCUAUUUGAGGAAUCUCAGAAGUCAAUGCAAUGGCAAAAGAGAGCAAUAGUUUUGCAGAGUGCAAUCAGGGCUGAGGCAAAGUCGGUCGAUCUGCAACAAGAAAAACAUCCACACCAAAUACUAAAUCUAUGGACUGAAACAAAUUACAUUUAGAAAUUUCAUUUCACACGUGGCAUUUUUUCUGACAACUUGGAUUAAAUGACAUUUGAUGUGAGGCUUAUUCUCUUUUUUUGACAUUGACAAUUAAAUGGAAAAACACAAUAUAGCAUUUUUGUUACAGUAUUACAAGUGAACAAGAGGGUUCUACAGUCACUCUGAAUUACUAAACGAUGUCAAUAGGCCUUUCUCUGUAAACUGAAGCACGCAUCAGUUUUGAAGAGGUUUUAAUUCAUUUCAGUACAAAUUAUACACUUGAUAUGUAAACAAAAUAUACUUACCAAUUAAAAAUACAUGUACUGUCUAUUGCAUUUCAUACAAGCACAAACAACUGUGAAGUUUACUUUUUGAUUUUUCACAUGAAAUCAGAUAAAUAAAACAACAACAAAAGUGCAAGUAUGACUUCAAACAAAAGACAAUUGAAAGAUGAAUGGAUGGCUAAUUACAGUCAAGUAAAAAUUCAUAGAACCCACAGAAACUGCAUAAUUGGAAUUCCAUAUUAAUCAAGAAGAAAAAGGUGUAACAUUAGUCAUGUAUCUAAAGAUAAACACCAAUCAGCCACAACAUUAAAACCACCUGCCUAAUAUUGUGUAGGUGGCUGAUCGGUGUAUCUGCACUGUUGUUAUGGUGAUUACUUUGAGAAGGAGGAGUUCUAUGAUCAUUUAUUAAACUGUAACAUUGUAGAUUAUGAAAUAUUUAAAUAAUGGCAAAACUAAAAAACUGACUUUGGCUCAAAAAUUUUUAACCCCGAGUUAAUUUUUUCUCUUAAACCUUUUCAAGUACUAAGCAAAUCCAGAUUUUAGCAGGACAUGAUGUUUUUAGGGGAUUUUGUGGAAAUUCGGGUUUGUUAAAAGAUUACACGACCCACGCAGUGCCACUUUUUGAAACAUACAGCCAUCAGAUGAUGUUUUUGUUUCUAGUUGCAUUUUAGUAUUAAAAGUUUAUAGAGGGUCAAAUCUGACUUAGAUGCUACAACUAAAAUGCAAAUUGUAAGUCUUACAAACAGAUGUCUAGAAGAUUACACAGAGAAAAUUAAAUCCAUAAUAAAAGCUAAAUAUCUCACAAGUAUAAGUGCAGCCUUCAUUAUUACCAUGUUAAUUAAAUGUAUAGUUCACCCAAAAAUGAAAAUUCUCUCAUCUUUUACUCACCCUCAUGCCAUCCCAAAUGUGUAUGACUUUUUAUUUUCUGAUGAACGCAAAUGAAAAUUUUAGAAGAAUACCUCAGCUCUUUUGAUCCAUUCAGUGCAAGUGAAUGGUUCCAGAAUUUUGAAGCUCCAAAAAGCACAAAGGCAGCAUAAAUACUUUUACUUUUAAUCCAUAUCUUCUGACACAAUAUGAUAGGUGUGGGUGAGAAACGGAUACAUAUUUAAGUCCUGUUUUACAAUAAAUUCUGCCCAGUAAAAAAAAAAAAAAAACAGAAGAAGAA